CUUGGUUUUCUUCCAACCUCGUACCCAGGCUCUUUCCACUAUGCGCCUCGCAGCGAGGCACGUAGUGGAAAGAGCCUGGGUACAAGGUUGGUUGCCCCUUUCUAAACUAAGAACCCGUUUAGAGUGUUAAAUCGAUUUACAUUACGAGUGCAUAUGUAUAUAUCAAUGGACUGAGGAGUUUCGUGCACCAUUAUUUUUUUUUUAAUUUUGUCAAAGGUCAAUAAUACAUAUAGCUAGUGAACAAUUUAGUCGCUGUUAUAAUUAAAGACCGUGUAAAGUCCGUUCUGAGCAGGGCUACAUUCCAAUGGUUGGGACCCGAACAUUGGCAUCCUCGUUCCCAGGGCUUCUCGGCUGCCUGCCUAGGAACGAGGAUGGACCAUUGGAAUGUUGUUAAUAUUUCGCACCUUCCGAACUUUCUUGAAUUGAAUCUCUAGUCUCUAGCAUAGCGAACCAGAAGAGUGUUAAAAAUUCAGUAUAAUAUAUAUCUAAUCGCAUUUUACAACUAUAGCACUGAGUUCAAAAUGUAAACAAAGCGUUUGUUUACAUUACGGACUUUACAUGACCUUCAAUUAUCAGUUCCACCACAAGUAAAUUGAACCCUAUUGAUAUAAGAACAUACAAUAUCAAUCUGCAAUAUUAAAUAAAGUUAACAACACUGAGCCAUGCACUUUAAAAAUAUUCUGCUCAAAUUUUCUUGGUCAACGUAGAAUUAACCCUAUUUAUAUUAACUUCAUAUUCCUGGUUAAAUUUCCUGGUUAUUGUAAACAUUUGAUCUGGUUAAUGACUAAUAGUCCGUGUGUUGUGACCCGAUAUCGUUCACUUUCAUUAAGCAUGUCUUAGAUCUGAAAUAUUUUUACGGGAACUAACAC